AGUGAACGCUGGCGGUAGGCCUAACACAUGCAAGUCGAACGGCAGCACAGUAAGAGCUUGCUCUUACGGGUGGCGAGUGGCGGACGGGUGAGGGAUACAUCGGAAUCUACUUUUUCGUGGGGGGUAACGUAGGGAAACUUACGCUAAUACCGCAUACGACCUACGGGUGAAAGCAGGGGAUCUUCGGACCUUGCGCGAUUGAAUGAGCCGAUGUCGGAUUAGCUAGUUGGCGGGGUAAAGGCCCACCAAGGCGACGAUCCGUAGCUGGUCUGAGAGGAUGAUCAGCCACACUGGAACUGAGACACGGUCCAGACUCCUACGGGAGGCAGCAGUGGGGAAUAUUGGACAAUGGGCGAAAGCCUGAUCCAGCCAUACCGCGUGGGUGAAGAAGGCCUUCGGGUUGUAAAGCCCUUUUGUUGGGAAAGAAAAGCAGCAGGUUAAUACCCCGCUGUUCUGACGGUACCCAAAGAAUAAGCACCGGCUAACUUCGUG
rnacentral:rRNA from 1 species